AGGAUGAACGCUGGCGGCGUGCUUAACACAUGCAAGUCGAGCGAAGCAUUUUGCUGAUUCUUCGGAUUGAAGCAGAUCUGACUUAGCGGCGGACGGGUGAGUAACGCGUGGGUAACCUGCCUCAUACAGGGGGAUAACAGUCAGAAAUGACUGCUAAAACCGCAUAAGCGCACAGUACCGCAUGGUAGAGUGUGAAAAAACUCCGGUGGUAUGAGAUGGACCCGCGUCGGAUUAGCCAGUUGGCGGGGUAACGGCCCACCAAAGCGACGAUCCGUAGCCGGCCUGAGAGGGCGACCGGCCACAUUGGGACUGAGACACGGCCCAAACUCCUACGGGAGGCAGCAGUGGGGAAUAUUGCACAAUGGGGGAAACCCUGAAUGCAGCGACGCCGCGUGAGUGACGAAGUAUUUCGGUACGUAAAGCUCUAUCAGCAGGGAAGAAGACGACGGUACCUGACUAAGAAGCCCCGGCUAACUACGUGCCAGCCGCGGC
rnacentral:rRNA from 1 species